UACGUAGGCGGCAAGCGUUGUCCGGAAUCAUUGGGCGUAAAGGGGGCGCAGGCGGGGAUGCAAGUCUUUCCUGAAAGCGUGGGGCUCAGCCCCAUGAUGGGAAAGAAACUGUAUCUCUUGAGCGCGGGAGAGGGAAGCGGAAUUCCUGGUGUAGCGGUGAAAUGCGUAGAUAUCAGGAAGAACACCAGUGGCGAAGGCGGCUUCCUGGACCGCGGCUGACGCUGAGGCCCGAAAGCCAGGGGAGCGAACG
rnacentral:rRNA from 1 species